GCACGCGCGCUACACUGAUGCAUUCAACGAGCCUAGCCUUGACCGAGAGGUCCGGGUAAUCUUUGAAACUGCAUCGUGAUGGGGCUAGAUUAUUGCAAUUAUUAAUCUUCAACGAGGAAUGCCUAGUAAGCGUGAUUCAUCAGAUCGCGUUGAUUACGUCCCUGCCCUUUGUACACACCGCCCGUCGCUCCUACCGAUUGAAUGAUCCGGUGAGGCCCCCGGACUGUGGCAACGCAGCUGGUUCGCCAGCCGCGAUGCCGCGGGAAGCUGUCCAAACCUUAUCAUUUAGAGGAAGGAGAAGUCGUAACAAGGUUUCCGUAGGUGAACCUGCGGAAGGAUCAUU
rnacentral:rRNA from 1 species